CUUCUUCUCUUCGUAUUCAUAACCAGAAACACGAGAGGCGAGUUUGGGAGAUUCAUAGAAACACAACGUUGUCUUCUUCAUUCAUUAGCUCGAGAUGAUUAUAGUUUAUUGUUAAGGUGUGUGAUGAUUAUGACGAGUUAAAGAAAGAAGGAAGAGGCCAGUUUGCUGGUGAUUAAAAGAAGAAGGAGCAGUUGAAGUUAGGGUUUCCUUUCAUUAAAUAAGCAAAUCAGAGCUAUAUAUGAUGCAAAAAAGGUCAUGAAGUUGAACUUUUGUUUUAGUGGCAUGAAUGGGGUGCAUGAGGGGAAACUUUUUUAGGAAGAAAUUUGCAGCAUCUACUUCAACUGAUGCAACAAAGAAGGAGAAGGCAACAAAGACUUCCACUGGCAAUGUAAAGGUGAAGCAGAAUUGCUGCAGGUUCAUGUAGUGGUUCAAGUGUGACUAUUAAUUUUAAACAGUCAUUCAACUGUGCAAAAGCCCCCUUCCAAAAGCCAAAGGAACGCUAAGGUUCCUUAUGAUGUCUUUUUUGUUUUGUUUUUCUUUAUGGAUUGCGUUGUUUGUUGGGUGUUCCACUGUGGUGGUCUUCAAGGUAAUUGUGCCCCUUGACGAUAUCUCGUCACAA